CAACUUUUAACAACGGAUCUCUUGGCUCUUGCAUCGAUGAAGAACGCAGCGAAAUGCGAUAAGUAAUGUGAAUUGCAGAAUUCCGUGAAUCAUCAAAUCUUUGAACGCAAAUUGCACUCUUUGGUAUUCCGAAGAGUAUGCUUGCUUGAGGGUUGUUU
rnacentral:rRNA from 1 species